rnacentral:sRNA from 1 species
UGGGAGCCUCCGCUGGGGGCAUCCUGAGUCAGGCUGUGAGCAGAUUCGCCACCAGAGGGCGCCCCGGGCCCUGGGUCGUCCAAGGGGACAAGGACGUUCCCUGACCCCCCCAUCCUGCAGCCCACCUUCCUGCAGUGUCGUGGCAGGCGACACCGACUCCUAGGCGCCCUCCAGAGAUCCCAUCUUAGGCGACACCGACUCCUAGGCGCCCUCCAGAGCCAAGCAGCUUGCGACUUCUGGUGGGCACUGGAAUCCCCUGGGAUGCUUGUUUUAAAAGUCCUGGGCCGGGCACGGUGGCUCACGCCUGUAAUCCCAGCACUUUGGGAGGCUAAGGCGGGUGGAUCACGAGGUCAGGAGUUCAAGACCAGCCUGGCCAACAUGGUGAAACCCUGUCUCUACUAAAAAUACAAAAAUUAGCCAGACGUGGUGGUGUGCGCAUGUAGUCCCAGCUACUCAGGAGGCUGAGGC